rnacentral:rRNA from 1 species
UACGAAGGGGGCUAGCGUUGUUCGGAAUCACUGGGCGUAAAGGGCGCGUAGGCGGCUUUAUAAGUCGGGGGUGAAAGCCUGUGGCUCAACCACAGAAUUGCCUUCGAUACUGUAGAGCUUGAGACCGGGAGAGGUAAGUGGAACUGCGAGUGUAGAGGUGAAAUUCGUAGAUAUUCGCAGGAACACCAGUGGCGAAGGCGGCUUACUGGUCCGGUUCUGACGCUGAGGCGCGAAAGCGUGGGGAGCAAACAGG